UGACUUUAGUCAACGUCGGAGGAGGGGCGGGGUUUGGAAAGGCGUCGGUGUCAGCACAAACAAACAACCACAGGGAUGUUAAAUGUUUUUUUGUUUUUUUUUGCUGAGUCAGAAUAUAUCCAUGACUACAGUUCAGGAGUUCAGGAUGACGAUGCGGAAAAGCCUUUUAAUGUGUGGGUGCUACUACAUGGUGAUUAACCAGACAAAAGACCAAGAAGCUCUCCUCGGACCUGGAGGAAUGGAUGUCUCCUGCCGUCAAUCUACUUACAUCUCCCUGUGGAUAACCUUCCACCAAUUUGCACGAGUCACCCCUGGGUAGGCUGCAGGGCCUGGGUCAGCCAUAUGGUGGCAGAAGCCCCCGGAGGAGCCAGCCCGAUAAGCUGGAUCAGCUACAGCACUUCCUGACCGAGGCUCGGGCCGCACCACCAAGCAGGUAAACGAGGGGGGUGGUGGCAGUAGCUACCCCUUAGCAGCAGGAACCACAGCAGUACCAUUAGGAACCUGAGGGCAGAGAAAUGGAAAUGGUUUCAUCCAUGGCAUCUGCAAUGCUAAGGGAAAUUAAA